rnacentral:rRNA from 1 species
UACGUAGGGCGCGAGCGUUGUCCGGAAUUAUUGGGCGUAAAGAGCUCGUAGGCGGCUUGUCACGUCGGGUGUGAAAGACCGGGGCUUAACUCCGGUUCUGCAUUCGAUACGGGCUAGCUAGAGUGUGGUAGGGGAGAUCGGAAUUCCUGGUGUAGCGGUGAAAUGCGCAGAUAUCAGGAGGAACACCGGUGGCGAAGGCGGAUCUCUGGGCCAUUACUGACGCUGAGGAGCGAAAGCGUGGGAGCGAACAGG